GCCCCAUGUGGGGCCUCUUGUUCCUGCAGCCAGGGGAACACAAAGUCCCAGCUGAAGAAAAAUACAAGGAAGUGAAGUGAGAAGUAAAGUUAGAAAAAGUAUAGGCUGUCCAGUAGAUGAGCUGAAGGAAGGACUAGACCAGAACCAUGGAAAUAAAUGAAGCAAGGGAAAGAAGAUUCUAGACAACAAGUGUUACAGGAACAGGGAAAAAAGGGGGGUCCAGAGAACAAGGGAAAAUGUUUUCUUCCAGAUUACUUCAUAGAACUGUGGGAAUUGACAGUGAACUUCACUUUCCUUCUGGAGCCAUUUUUAAUUUUAGAAGGUCAGGUUCUCAUUCUACAAUUGAAGUUAAUCCAGCCUACUCCUUAAGGAAAUUCUCAGAGGACUGAGGAGAUACAUUUACAGACUGGGACAAAUCCAGUGAACAGAGAACAGAAUGUUAAGAAGAUUGAAGACCAUCUGAUAUGGAGGUCAUAGGAACCAAGAAAGACCCAGGGACCUGCUGUAUUGAGAGAAGCUUUGAUGGAGCCGGCUUGUGGAUCCCUGCUCCGGAUUUUCCAGCUGUCCCUGUCCCUUGCUCAGAGCGCAGGAUGCUGAGAUGGCUCGGUGAUGCAGAAGCUCUCUCAGGAAAAUAACUGAAUGAAAAUGAGAAGACUGUCCCGGAUCCCCCCACUCCAAAUUGCUGAAGGUCAGAAAGAUGUUAUCUUCUAAUCAGAUCCUGGGUAAGCUUCAACCUGCUCAAGUACUGAAACAGCCUCUUAAAUCUGAGAACUGGAUUGGGGGCAAAAUUUGUGCAGGAAUUUGCUCAGCUGUUGCAUCUGAUUAAUGUACUUCAAUCAACUCCCCAGUUAUCUGGGAUCCUAAGUCAACCAGGGUUUAAAUCCACAGAUAAUUCUCAAGCCGUAUUUUAUCCAAUCAUUUUCACCAUUUUCUCAGCUUACUUUCUCCUCAGAAUUUCAAAAUGAUUGAUUUAAUCUCUCCUAGUUUCCUGUGGCAGUAUAUGUGGACUAGGUGCUAAAGAAUAAUAGAAUCAUCAAAAUGUGGGGAGCAGGAAGAAGAGAGAACCUGGAAAAUUGGUUUUCAGAUCCCUGAGAACUGUUCCUGAUUAAUUUUAUAUUGACUUGUACUGCCUAAUAAAAAUAAUAAUGACACAUUUAUUUACCCAUUUCCUUAAGGUUUACCAAAAGCUUUCUCUUCUAGCUAUUAGCUAUUUCUUCUCUAGAAGUAUGCUUAGAUGUCACCUACUCCAGGAAGGUAGAAGUUUUUUGUGAGCUUUGCAAAAACAAAUCAAAACAAAACAAAAAACCCAAAUCUUCUAAAGAAAUAUUAUCUUACUCUGGAAUUCUCAUAAGGAUUUGAGAGAGGAUAUACCAAAAAUAUGAAGCAAGGCUAUGAGACAUAUUUUCCAUUUUGAUUAAAAUUCUUCAUGGUUAGGUUUCUUUUAUGUUCUGGAUAUAGGUAGGAAGAAGGGCAGGGGGAAUGGGGAUAUAGUAGAUUUUUUUGGAAUAGGUGAAACAGGAGAUACUUUGCCUCAAUUGCUGCCUAGUCAAUCACUGAAUGGGUGCCACCUCAGUGAAACUGAGACCUAUUGAAAAGCUUAGCCUAAAAAGACUGAGGCAUCCCACUUCAUCCAGGAUCAUUUCUAGUCAUCCUGAUCUAUAUCUGGUCACUGGAUCCAGAUGUUUUUGGAGGGGAAAGUGAGGCAGGUAACCUUGCACGGUCCUUCCUCACGUAAAUCCAAUUGAUUUGCAUGUUAUGGCAUCAUCACCUCUCUGAUGUCAUGGUUUUCUUCAAGAACAAAGGGCAAAAGUAAACAAUAAAACAUACUUACUGGUAUGGCUGGUUUACUUUCCUUGGGGAAAAAGUCCUCAGAAACUGAGAUGCUUUAUCAGCCUUCCAUACCAAUCACUGAUUCUGGUAUAAUCCAAUCUAGUUAGGAAAUUCUUUUUUUUUUUAAAUGUUAUUAUAGCU